CCUACGGGAGUCUGCAGUGAGGAAUAUUGGUCAAUGGGCGCGAGCCUGAUCCAGCCAAGUAGCGUGAAGGAUGACUGCCCUACGGGUUGUAAACUUCUUUUACAAAGGAGUAAAGUGAGGCACGUGUGCCUUUUUGUAUGUACUUUAUGAAUAAGGAUCGGCUAACUCCGUGCCAGCAGCCGCGGUAAUACGGAGGAUCCGAGCGUUAUCCGGAUUUAUUGGGUUUAAAGGGAGCGUAGAUGGGUUGUUAAGUCAGUUGUGAAAGUUUGCGGCUCAACCGUAAAAUUGCAAUUGAUACUGGCAGUCUUGAGUACAGGUGAGGUAGGCGGAAUUCGUGGUGUAGCGGUGAAAUGCUUAGAUAUCACGAAGAACUCCGAUUGCGAAGGCAGCUUACUAGACUGCAACUGACAUUGAUGCUCGAAAGUGUGGGUAGCAAACAGGAUUAGAUACCCCUGUAGUC
rnacentral:rRNA from 1 species